CUCACGCCGUCCAUUGACAUUCAUUGAAACUCCUCUCUAGCCAGCUCAAACUUGAAGAGCACUUUCUAAACUGCGACUGUGCCUUCAUUGUUAAUAGAGACAUACUAUGCAUCAAAAUGUAGGUCUGGGUCUUGUGAUUCUCACAAUAUAAAGCUCUUCGUUGUAGGAUUUAUAGUUUUUAAAAUACGACCGUUUGAAGAUGGCAACCGCCAAAAUACUCUACCUGUGCCAAGCUGGAGCAGCAAGUGAUAUCAUAGACAGGGCCUUUUGUACACCUGCUAAUGUUUUUAUAAAUGUAUGUUUUAAUGUAACUGUGAAGCACUU